GUGCUCACUUCAGCAUCACAUAUACUAAAAUUAGAACAAUACAGAGAUUAGCAUGGUCCAUGCGCAAGGAUGGCAUGCAAAUUUGUGAAGCAUUCCAUAUUAAA
ensembl:snRNA U6 U6 spliceosomal RNA